UACGUAGGGGGCAAGCGUUGUCCGGAAUCAUUGGGCGUAAAGAGCGUGUAGGCGGUCCGGUCAGUCGGUUGUGAAAGUCAAGGGCUCAACCCUUGAAUGCCGGCCGAUACUGCCGGGCUAGAGUCCGGAAGAGGUGAGUGGAAUUCCUGGUGUAGCGGUGAAAUGCGCAGAUAUCAGGAGGAACACCCGUAGCGAAGGCGGCACUCUGGGCCGGUACUGACGCUGAGGAGCGAAAGCGUGGGGAGCAAACAGG
rnacentral:rRNA from 1 species